rnacentral:rRNA from 1 species
GAUAAACGCUGGCGGCGUGCUUAACACAUGCAAGUCGAACGAAGUUUUUCUUUCGGGGGGACCUUAGUGGCGGACGGGUGAGUAACGCGUGGGUAACCUGCCCUGUACAGGGGGACAACAGCUGGAAACGGCUGCUAAUACCGCAUAAGCCCUUAGCACUGCAUGGUGCAUAGGGAAAAGGAGCAAUCCGGUACAGGAUGGACCCGCGUCUGAUUAGCCAGUUGGCAGGGUAACGGCCUACCAAAGCGACGAUCAGUAGCCGAUCUGAGAGGAUGUACGGCCACAUUGGGACUGAGACACGGCCCAGACUCCUACGGGAGGCAGCAGUGGGGAAUAUUGCACAAUGGAGGAAACUCUGAUGCAGCGACGCCGCGUGAGUGAAGAAGUAUUUCGGUAUGUAAAGCUCUAUCAGCAGGAAAGAAAAUGACGGUACCUGACUAAGAAGCACCGGCUAAAUACGUG